rnacentral:rRNA from 1 species
GACGAACGCUGGCGGCGUGCUUAACACAUGCCAGUCGAACGGAAAGGCCCCGUUGUGGGGUACUCGAGUGGCGACCGGCGGGGUAACACGUGAGUAACCUACCCUUGACUUUGUGAUGACUUCAGGAGACUGGGGCUAAUACCAGCUAGGAGCUCCUCCUGCAUGGUGGUGGUUGGAAAGUUUCGGCGGUUGGGGAUGGUCUCGCGGCUUAUCAGCUUGUUGGUGGGGUAGUGGCUCACCAAGGCUUUGACGGGUAGCCGGCCUGAGAGGGUGACCGGCCACAUUGGGACUGAGAUACGGCCCAGACUCCUACGGGAGGCAGCAGUGGGGAAUAUUGCACAAUGGGCGGAAGCCUGAUGCAGCAACGCCGCGUGCGGGAUGACGGCCUUCGGGUUGUAAACCGCUUUCGCCUGUGACGAAGCGUGAGUGACGGUAAUGGGUAAAGAAGCACCGGCUAACUACGUG